rnacentral:rRNA from 1 species
UAAUACCAGCAGUCCGAGUAGCAACCACUUUUAUUAGGUUUAGAGAGUUCGUAGCUCGUCCAGAAAGUUUUUUGUGAAAUGUUACAGCUUAACUGUAACGCGUGCAAGAAAUACUGUUGGACUUGAGACCAGGAGACGCAGCGAGUAUGGUUGGGGUAGCGGUAAAAUGUUUUAAUCCCAGCCAGACUAACAAUUGGCGAAGGCACGCUGCGAGAAUGGAUCUGACGGUGAGGAACGAAGGCCAAGGGCGCAAAGGGGAUUAGAUACCCCCGUAGUCUUGGCUGUAAACGCUGCAUACUAAACAUUGUGCUCUCCUAGAGAGAGUGUAGUGCUGUAGAGAAAUCGUUAAGUAUGCCACCUGGGGAGUAUAGCCGCAAGGUCG